CGAAGCACGAUGAGGGAAUCCCAAGUGCUUGCACGUAAGUGUAAGCUGUUUCUUUGUUUAAAAAGCAAGGAGAGGAAGGGCUGGGUAAGACGGGUGCCAGCCGCCGCGGUAAUACCUGCAGCUCAAGUGGUGACCGCUAUUAUUGGGCCUAAAACGUUCGUAGCCGGCUGAGUAAAUGCUUGGGUAAAUCGUGUAGCUUAACUAUACGAAUUCCGGGUAGACUGCUUAGCUUGAGACCGGGAGAAGCUAGAGGUACUCCUGGGGUAGAGGUGAAAUUCUGUAAUCCUGGGGGGACCACCAGUGGCGAAGGCGUCUAGCUAGAACGGGUCUGACGGUGAGGGACGAAACCCUGGGGCGCAAACCGGAUUAGAUACCCGGGUAGUCCAGGGCGCAAACGCUGCUUGCUUGAUGUUAGUCGGGCUCCGAGCUCGGCUAGUGUCGGAGAGAAGUUGUUAAGCAAGCUGCCUGGGAAGUACGAUCCGAAGCACGACGAAGCACGACGAAGCACGAGGAGCACA
rnacentral:rRNA from 1 species